rnacentral:rRNA from 1 species
AGCGUAGGUGGAUAUUAAGUGGAUCUUAAAAGUGCGGGGCUCAACCCCGUGAUGGGGUCCAAACUGAAUAUCUUGAGUGCAGGAGAGGAAAGCGGAAUUCCUAGUGUAGCGGUGAAAUGCGUAGAUAUUAGGAAGAACACCAGUGGCGAGGGCGGCUUUCUGGACUGUAACUGACACUGAGGCUCGAAAGCCAGGGUAGCACG